rnacentral:misc_RNA from 1 species
GCAAACUUGGUCAUUUAGAGGAAGUAAAAGUCGUAACAAGGUUUCCGUAGGUGAACCUGCGGAAGGAUCAUUACCGAUUCUAAAGGAUGUGCUGGCCUCAUGGCAUGUGCACUCCAAAACCUCUUACCCCUGUGAACCUUUUGUAGUCUGGCAUUAAGGGAGAACUUGUUCUUCUGCUAUGACUAUGUUUUUAUACACUCUUUAUUAAUUUAUAGAAUGUUUUUAAGACCUUAACAAGUCUAAUAAAUUUAAUAUAACUUUCAACAACGGAUCUCUUGGUUCUCGCAUCGAUGAAGAACGCAGC